rnacentral:lncRNA from 1 species
GUUUUUAAGUAUUGUCAAGUUCCUUCCUGAAGGGUUGUACCCAUCUUCGUCCCCCCAGCAGUGUGUGGGGGUGUUUCCCGCAGCCUUGCUAGCAGAAUGCUCGCGCUCUCUAGUCUGCCAGUCUGAUAGUGGCUGCCCAGUUGUCCUGGCACCACUUAAGAAAAGUCCAUCUUUGCCCCAGGGAGUUGAGACGUCACUUUUAUCAGGUACUAAAUCGCAUGAAGUCACCUUUAAAAAUCCAUCUUUGCUCUCGUUGUGCUUGGUCAUGGUGUGGUUGGUCUCAUGCUGUCUGUUCAUUGCCUGAGGGCCCAGAUUCGUGCUUGUUCUUCUGAAAGAAUAACUACCGCACCAAUAAUCUUGAAAGCCAGAGGAACUCACCUUCUGGCCAUGUAUGUAUGAAACACUGUCACCUGAACUGAACCCACAGCUCUGAGACGCUGCCCCUCGGGAAGACGCUGCGGUGUCUGUCUGCUCUGGACGAAGCUUCCUCCGUGAGUCUCGGGCUGCUCUGGAAGCACUGUGUGGAAAGCUUGAGCAUCGGCCUCCUGAGCACCGGCUCUGACAAGGGUCCUUGUUGGUUCCUUGAAUGUUUCCUGAGUUCAGCCGCUGGAUCCAGGUUGGCGUUCUGUGAUGCUGUGAUUACUGCCAGAGCAGAGUCAUCAGAAUUAUGAGGCAGGUUAACUUUCGUGGGCACCUACGCCCCGAGUACAGAGUUGCCAGGUGACAAUGAGAUCCCAUUAAAAUCUGGAAUCUGGGAACUAUGUCCAGAUGCUGUCCUUCCAGAAAGACUUCACACUGAUGUGAGGAGGAGCCGUCCUGCAGAGUCCUCCCGUCUUCGCAGCAAACGGGGAGCUGUCUGGAGGAGUAGAACAUGGGGCUGAUGCAACACGGGCCUUUU